rnacentral:lncRNA from 1 species
AGAUACAUGCAGGAGGUACUUGACACUUCAGGCUUUUCCCUGUUAAUAGGUAUGGACAUUGUAGUGACAGCUCAGAUGACGGUAUGCAUAGUAACUUCAUAAAUAUAGACUCUUGAAUGCCAAUGGAUACUUAUUGGGAAUAACACAGCUGAAAGAGGAAGAGAAGAGGGUGAAAGACAGGUCAUUUCUUGAAAAAUGGUACAGGAAAUGUUUGGUCUCAGCAGAUAAUUUAAUUGCAUGGUCCAGUCUGUAUCGUUGUUUCAGGCCAAAUGGAAAAUAAGAUCCGUAGGGCUGCAGAGCCAGAAAGGAGAAGGAUCAUCACCAUGACUUACAGUGGACUUCAAUCGAACUAAAUGCGGCUGAAAUGCAAUGGAGGAGUACGGCAAAACAAAAGUACGGUAUAUCAUCCUUUCCUUUUCUAAAACUGGGCAUGGUUUAAAUGUGAAUUUGUUCAAACAGAAAUAAAGGAAUUUAGAGGUCUCUUUAUUCAUUUAUUUGAAUGCUGAUGCUUCAUUCCCUCAUGCAAGAUGCCACAGUCAUAAAGCUAGCCUACACAUACCCUGUAUGUAUGUCAGCAUCUGAAUUAUGAGUCUAUACUUUUGUAAUUAAUGGAAAGAAAAUGACAUUUAUAGAGGGCAUUUUUUUCUUUUAAGACAUACCUAAAAUUUGUCAAAUGAACCAUCCUGUUGAUCUGCCUAUUUCAUUCCUUUGAAUAUAAAGAGAUGACCAUCUCCAACCUGAAGGUCUGUGUUUCUACCACCUAAGGUAGGGGGGAUGAAUCCUGCCUAUUGGGACUAACAGGAUCGCUGUUAGGAAGGUUUAGGGAGAGAGGAGUACAGCUGCGAUGUCUCUUAACUACUGGCUGUGUUUAUCUGCCUGCUCAGAAAUUGCUCAGAACAUAGGUGAAGUGUGAUGCAUUGUUAGUUUUUUCUGUUUUCCCUUUAGGGGAGAGAAAACGACUGGAGAAACAAUGGAAGAGCUGUGUUUACAGAGUAGUACAAAGCUGAAAAAUUUCCAUACUAUGUUUACCACCAGCCACAAUGUGUGGCAGCAGAAAUGCCUGUUUUGCAGACGUGUCCGUCAGGUGGAAGGUGCCUGGGUAAGAAGUCUUUGUGGCUGAUGGUGCACUGCUUUGAGGUUCAGGAGGCCUGCCUCUGGUCUGAUCUUUGUGUGUGAUUUUUUUGGAUGGCAGAAAGGGUAAGAGCCAUAUGACCAUUAAAUGCUGUAACGUGAUUCCCAUCUUCUGUCUGUGCUCACUCUCAUCUGCGUACGUGAGCACAUACAUAACCGUACAAAUAUACCUACCCAGAUGAAAGUCUGCAUCGGCUCUGGUCCUAUUGAAUUUUCUGAAAUGAUUUUUUCAUCUUGAUGGGUUUUAGCAUUAAAGUGAACAAGCAAAGCAGCACACUUCAGCAGUGUUGGUAGGAAGGAAGGAAGGAAGGAAGCGGGAGGGGUGUUUGAGAAAGGUAAAGUGCACAUAAAACUGGAUAAAGUCACCUGCUGCUCCUCAUCAUGCAACCUAAGAAAUGUACAGGAAUUUACAAUGUACAAAUGUUCUGCUUUAUAACUACUGAAUUUCAUGGUUGCAUAUUUGCCACUUGUGAAUUUGUAACUAGAUAUUAGCGAUUUCCGAAUGGCUUGGGAUGUUUGUGCACACGUAAUACUUGAAAAGUGUGGUAAACAUAUGUAGCAACCUGUUUAUUCAUUGCAGAGUGCACACAAGGAAAGAGAAAUGCUAAGAAUUGUCAUGCAGUAAGCUUUCAAAGUGGCACGACCACAUUAAAUAUGCAAGCAUGAGCUGUUAACGGUCCCCCAAACAUUUCCAUAUGGAUCUGAUAGAUGCAGUUAUAUUGUCCAAGUAAGAGGUGAAAGCCAAAAGGUUAUGGACAAGAAGAUGAUUUAAAUGUGAAUAAGCCAUUAGAAACUACUGGAAGUAGAAAACCAGAAUUUUAUUUGAUCCCUUUGUGUUACCACAUGCUAAAUGGAAUUAGAUCCAGCCUGUGAGUGGUACUGGGAUUAGACACCAGCAUGUGAGAGGUAAAACUGCAGAAUUAAAAUAACCCCUGGUUUUAUUCAUCUCUUCUGAAACAUGUCAAGUGUCACUUUUGUUGAUUACCAUAAAAACAGAAGUCACUUUCUUCUAAAAAUCGAAAAAAAGUUAUCUUGGUACUAAGUAUUAGGUAACCAGAAUGUAAGAUAUCACAGCUACUGUGUUCUGGAGUUAUAAGCAGUGGUUGUGACACAUUAUUAUUAUUGCUACAGCUACGACUACUACUUACUUGCUAUUUGCUACAAACAUGUUAGAAAACAUUUUUCUCUUUUGUGUUUCCUUAACAGCUAAAUACAUCAGGGUUCAUGUUUCUGCCUGGGCAUCCUUGAUCCCAUCAUACUGUUCUACCCUACUCCUCCUGAUUUAACAUUAUUAUAUCAUAUAUCCUAUUAUCAUAUGAAUAGUCAGGAAUAAAAAGGCAAAAUUUAAAAGUAUACA